CCGAGCUGCUCGAGGCGCAGUUCAGGUUCUCCAACCCCCGUCCCAGAGGCCGGUCCCGCGGUGUCGGAGCUGCGGCCUGGUAUUGCCGGGUCCGCAGGCCCCAGGCCUGGGCUCUGGGUACAGGCGCCGGUUUGUGAGAGAGACCCCGAGGCUCCGGGGAUCGUCCCACCGCAGAUUUAAACCCCUGAAGUCGGCUCAUCCUGAGCCCCGGACUCGAGCCGACAACUUUAAUAAAGGAGGCGGCCGGACGGAGGACAUUCGGCCCGUCAGGCGGUGUCUGACCCCCAGCGGGAGCCCCACAGGCCCGGAGCGGUCUGCGAUGCCCAUCUUACCAGUGAACCAGCCUCAGCUGAUCCGCUCCAAUCAGAAGGAUGAGUACUACCUGAACUCACUGCGCAGCUAUGCCAACGAGGCUUUCCAGAUCUUUGCUGGUGCUAAGCAAUGGCUGGAAUGGAGGAAGGAGAUCGAGUUAUUGGCAGACCUGACAUACUUUUCUCUAACAACCUUUGCAGGUUACCAGACACUGGGUGAAGAGUAUGUUAACAUUGUCCAGGUGGACUCCAGUGGGCAGCGGGUGCCAUCCCCAGCCAGACGAGCAGCCCUCAUCAUCCUUCACACUUGCGUUCCUUACCUGCUGGACCGAGGACUGAACCGCCUGGAGCAGGACCUGCAGGUGGAGAAUGAGGGAUCCCAGGCACCAGAGCACAGACGGGCACCAGCAAGACCAGGGGUCUCCCAAUGGCUGCAGGGGGCUGUCAAUGCCCUGACCGAGCAGCAGAAGAAAGGCUUGCUGCAAACUGUCUAUAUCCUUCGACAGGCAGUCUCCUUCCUGCAUCGUCUGCACCUGGGCAUCUUCUACCUCAACGGAGCUUUCUACCACAUUGCCAAAAGAUUCACUAGCAUCACCUAUUUGUGUGUACGUGGUUUGUUCGGUGACAGUGUUGGACUCCGGUGGAGCUAUGAGUUGCUGGGGAAGGUUUCUCUGCUGCAGCUGGCCCUGACUGUCGCUAUGCAGGUCAACAGCUACCGACAAAGGCGGCGUGCCCGGCAAGAGUGGAAACUUCACCGCAACCUUCCAUGCUCAAGAAAUUCCUCUCAGGAUCUUUCAGUCCGCCGCUCCAGGUGUAUACUGUGUUUGGAAGAACGUAGGCAUUCAACAGCCACACCAUGUGGACACCUCUUCUGCUGGGAAUGCAUCACCGAAUGGUGCAAUACAAAGGUGAAACCACAGCAAACAACUUGCAGUUAUAUAGCACCCUUAAUGGAGUAAAAUAUCCAAAGGUGCUUCGCAGGAUCAUUACCAAAUAAGAUUUGAAACUGAGCCACAUGAAGGAGAUAUUAGCACAGCUGAACAAAAGCUUGGCAGAGUGUCCGCUUUGCCGGGAGAUGUUCCAGCCACACAGACUCAUCUACUUGCGUCAUUACAUUUAGGAUGAGAGAACUUGCAUUUCUAUAGCAUCUCUCGCAACCUCUGGAGAUCCCAAAGCACUUUACAACUAAUGAAAGUAUUUUUGAAAUGCAAUCACAGUGUAAAGUAGGAAAGAGGACCCGCGAUAAUCUCCUGACUGCACUUUCAUUUGGGUGGUACUGAUCCUCCACAGCAAUGUUGAUGAUCAUCUGGUGAUAGAAUGAAACAGCUGGGUCACCAGUGUGUCCACUCUAGGGAUUUGUCAAAUAGUAAAUUGGACUUGGACAAAUGGGCCUAAAGAUUACUGCUUUCAACAUUGCACAAGAACCCUGAAGUCCAGACUGUUGUUUGAUGCCUAGCUUUACGUUUCUCAAACGUUUUACGAGCAUUAGAGGAAUUGAAGUGCCAAGUUUUUGCUUUGCCACUGUUUUCUUUCCUAUCCUCGAGGACAUUAUUCCUGUGGUCCAAUUCCAUUGGCUGCAGCAACUCUCUAAUAGCUGACUUGUUCUCUGUACAUAUCAGGGGAUGAGAUCAUUUCAGCACCUCAGAAGAGUGCAGUGCUGUGUUCACUGGUGAGCACGCCGGAGUCCUGGCUGAUCAUCUCACCGGCCCUGGUGUGAAUGAGGGCAACGAUUGUUCAGGCUAGUACAACACACACACACCUGAGACCUUCCUGAUGCAUUUGGCUGAGUUGAGAAUCAUUAAACAUUUCCAACAUAUUUGCUCAUAAUUUGGGAAAAUGACUAUGCAAAUAAGUAAUUAGAAUUCAAUGGUCAGGCCAGUCACUUUAUUUAAUUCAUUUAAUAGUUUCAUUUUUGUUUUCCCAGAGGGAAGAGGGCUGAGAAACAGCAUUACAAAUUUAAUUAUUUUGUUCAGCUUUAUUACAAGUAAAAUAAAAGUAAUAACAUCUGUGAUGCAGAAUUGGGAGAUCUUAAAACCUAGCACAAGAAACAUGUUUCGUUAAAGAAAGGCAAUUAGAUGUGUAUGAAGUUGUAGAACGAUGGUGUUGCAGAGUGCAGCAAAUGUGUCAUUUGGACAAUGACUGGUGAUUUGGUUUCAUAUAAAAUUAUAUAAAUGCA